rnacentral:lncRNA from 1 species
AUGUCACUGGUAAAGGAAUUCCCAACCUCGCUCACCACUGAAGAGAAUCAGAAGCAUUUGUCAGCACUGUUAGGAGCAAGGCUGAUGGCCGAUUGUCCUGUUUACAUCAUCAAUUAUCAAGUCACAACUUGGGCAAGCAGUUAAAGCUGAAACUCCUUUCAACCACCUUUCCCCAAGCACUAGGGAGUGUGUAGGCAUUUCUCUUUAUCCCACAUCUCUCUGCUCAUACAUGCAUUCUCAGAAUUUCUCCUUUAUCAGUUUUCUGGACACUAAUUAACACGUGUGAUUGGUCUGUUGGCUGCUGAGAAUGCUGUUGAUGGAGCACAAAGAAGGCAGGUGGCUUUGGAAAGAUGCUAGACAGUGAAAAUUGAUUCUCUAAUCAGAUUCUCUGAGAUAUGCUUUUAGUUUAAAAUUGAAUGAUUGGAUUAUCUCAGGUAUUUGAGAAACUUUUCAAGCAUACAGUCAAUAAAGUUCAAUAUGUCAUGAUUAUUAUUUUUUUAAAUUUGGACUGUUUUUUCACACAAGAUAAGAUUAAAUGGUGUGAAAUCUUUUAAUUCUUUUAAGAAAAUAAAUAAGAGCUAUAGAGAGAGUCUACCUAAUUGUACUAACCUUGGGAAAAUGAUGUCUGAUGAUUGGGGAUGGUUAGCCUAGAUGAAAAAAAAACAUGUUAACUAUUUACAAAUAUUUAAAGGGUCAUCAAUCUGGAAAAGGUAUUCAAUGUAGAGUAGUUCUAAGGUGAAUAGAAGAACUAAGACCAACAAGAGAAAAUUAUGGGAUAUAGAUUUUGCCUAUGUUUUUUCCCCCUGGUAUCUUAUUUUAAACUUUGAACUUUUCCUGGUGUGAGUUUUUACAUGCCAUAAUGAAGACCUAGUGCCAUUGACAUCACUGCCCUUCUGAUUUCCUCAUGGGAUGUCUUUUAAAUAUAAGAACUGGUGCUUGAACUAAGAUGAGCAGAACAUAUUAUUCCCAUUUUGCUGAUGAAGAAACUGAACCACAAAGAGCCUAUGUAGUUCUCCAGGAAAUCUCGUAAUAAAUUAGAGGUAGCCUAGAAUGGGAACCUGGGUCUCCUGAUUCUGAACCUUUCCAGCAGCCUGGUUACAAUGCUUCCUUCACUGAGACUAAUCAUGAUUUGGGUAGGGAAGCUUUAAUUCAAAAGUCACUUGGUCUUUGACGAACACUGCUGUUCUUUCAUCUAAACUCUCCACCCAGGCCAUAAUCUUCAUGGAACAGGAAUACUGGUGAUGAUUGAAUAAAAUUACAGGAGUCUUUAUUUACUCACUAAAUAUUUACUAAGUACCUACUGUAUACCCUGAAAGCACUUUGCUGGUCACUAGAGAUAGAGAGGCAAAACCAAAAGAAUAUUCUAAGCACCAUAAUUCUUUUAUCCAACAAAAAUUUUAUCCUAAUUAUCCUUACAGUAAUUGUGAUUACCAGAUGUCUGAGCUAGUAUUUUAGUGGAGAUAAUUUACUUCAAAGCCUCAUUUUACUGAUGAGAAAACUGAGGAUCUUGAA